rnacentral:rRNA from 1 species
GAUGAACGCUGGCGGCGUGCCUAAUACAUGCAAGUCGAGCGAACAGACGAGGAGCUUGCUCCUCUGACGUUAGCGGCGGACGGGUGAGUAACACGUGGAUAACCUACCUAUAAGACUGGGAUAACUUCGGGAAACCGGAGCUAAUACCGGAUAAUAUAUUGAACCGCAUGGUUCAAUAGUGAAAGACGGUUUUGCUGUCACUUAUAGAUGGAUCCGCGCCGCAUUAGCUAGUUGGUAAGGUAACGGCUUACCAAGGCAACGAUGCGUAGCCGACCUGAGAGGGGGAUCGGCCACACUGGAACUGAGACACGGUCCAGACGCCUACGGGAGGCAGCAGUAGGGAAUCUUCCGCAAUGGGCGAAAGCCUGACGGAGCAACGCCGCGUGAGUGAUGAAGGUCUUCGGAUCGUAAAACUCUGUUAUUAGGGAAGAACAAAUGUGUAAGUAACUAUGCACGUCUUGACGGUACCUAAUCAGAAAGCCACGGCUAACUACGU